GGUUGAUUAGUGUAGUGGUUAUCACAUCGGAUUCUGAUCAAGUUUGAGUCAUCUUCCGGUAACCUGGGUUCGACUCCCAGAUUGACCU